UUUGGGAAAUGAUGCUGAAUUUAUCAACAUUUUCUGAAGCACUGGCAAUGCUGAGUGGUUCUUAUAUUUUGCACGUCAGUCUGAUCCCAAA